rnacentral:lncRNA from 1 species
AUUUAAUGAAAGUUCAGAUUCAGGAGGAAAUACUCUUGAACUUGUAGGUACAUCAUAUGGAUAUUUCCAAUAAUACAGGUGAUAAUGCAAGAAUCUUUGAAGAUAAUUUGAGGAAAUUAAGCACUAAAAUCUGGGGAGACAAUAACCUUCUCUUUUUCAGGAUCUCUCAUAAUAAGCAACUUUUUAAUUCUUAUCAAUUUUUUGCUAUUUAUUGCUCAUUCAAAUCAAUAUUCUCAAAAAUCUUAAUGACAGCUUCAGUGAGUCCAACCCUUCAAUCAACUUUGAAAUUACUCUAGUUGUCAUAGAUUUAGGAUCAGAUUCUUCAGCUUCUUCAAGAGUGCUUUGCCUCUGAAUUUCAAUAAGAUUAAACAUGAGAGUUUAGCGGCUCUGAGACUAUCUGCAACAUUAACUUCCAAAUCACUUCGUUAGAAUAUUGAAAAUCUUCUAAAAAUCCUUUACUGUUAGAUCCUUGUUUUACUUUAUGAUUUUGUUUAAAUUGACAAAGAUAUAUUGAAUGUAAUAGAUUUUUAACAUCUUGAUUCAUAAAUUAAAUUAGACACAGUGAUGAGAUAUAUGUUAACUUUUACUCACGGAUCAAGUUCAGAAAGGCUGUAAGGAGUAGCUAGCAGUAUUUUUUGAUGGUAAACAUUACCUUAAAAGAUAGAUUUUGUGUGCAACAUAAAAGAGAUUUGAUGGCUAAAUUAGUCCUUAGGUAUUUCAGCAAUAAUCUAAACUUGGAAUUUCAUUUCCAAAUAACUGGAAUCCUAGGCCUUCACUUGUUCUUAAGAGUUUAUAGAUUCUCUGAACACCAAAUCAUGACUGACUUCAAUUUGUAAUCAUCAGCUUCAAAUCUUCAUUAUUUUAAAUCCAAGAAAUAUCUUCUUUUCAUGGAAAAUAUUUUGCAACAGACUUCAUCUUCCAAAAAAAAUCAUACUUCCUCAACAUGGAAGAUAGCCUUAGAGCAAUAGCUUCAGACUUAUAUUAACUCCUUCAAUCAUUUGAAGGAAGAAAAAGCUUUUUCCAAUUAUUCUAGCAAACUUCCUAUUAACAUUUACAAUCUCACUAGUAUCUGCAGUAUUAUACCAGCCAUAGUACAGCUAGUUCUUAAUUUACAACCAACUUGUAUUUACAACAGCAAUGUCAUUGAUAAAUUUGUUAUUGGUCAGUGUAAUUGAUUUAGGUUCAAUUCUCUCUAAUAAUUUAAUAUACAGAAAGCAUCUUUUUUGUGUUUAAGUUUAUUAUGAUAAAGUGGAAUGUAAUAA